rnacentral:misc_RNA from 1 species
GAUGAAGAACGCAGCGAAAUGCGAUAAGUAAUGUGAAUUGCAGAAUUCAGUGAAUCAUCGAAUCUUUGAACGCGCAUUGCGCCCGCCAGUAUUCUGGCGGGCAUGCCUGUCUGAGCGUCAUUUCAACCCUCAGCCCCCGCUCGCGGGGCGCUGGCGUUGGGGAUCGGCCGUCCUCGCGGCGGCCGGCCCCGAAACACAGUGGCGGUCUCUCGCGGACUCCCCUGCGUAGUAGCACUACCUCGCAGAAGGGACGAGCGGGCUGACCACGCCGUAAAACCCCCCACUUCUCCAGGUUGACCUCAGAUCAGGUAGGAAUACCCGCUGAACUUAAGCAUAUCAAUAAGCGGAGGA